CAUUUAUUUCAUUCCUCAUCAAUUUUCCAAAGCUUAAAACAGCGCCCUUUUAACUAGUUUAUUUUUAAAUACUAAACGCGUAGAAACAAUUAUAUAAGAAACAAAGAAAAAGAAGAAAAUACAGACCAGAGAAGGGAAUGGAGCGAUCGACGGCGAGGACACGGGUUUCACCGCCGUAAUAACGGAGUUUGCCGUCAGGGUAACGAGGGACGAUUUUUCCGCCGUAACUACAGAGGAACUUGAUGGUGGUUUUAGUUCCAACCAUGCUUUUUGGAGGGUAGUUGAGAGUGGAAGGCAGAGGAGGUUGAAGAGGAGAAGGCGGCGGGGAAAGAUGGUAUGUUUUGUUGUCUGGUGGCG
rnacentral:lncRNA from 1 species